rnacentral:rRNA from 1 species
AGCGAACGUUAGCGGCACGCUUAACACAUGCAAGUCGCACGAGAAAGGGAGCAAUCCUGAGUAAAGUGGCGCACGGGUGCGUAACACGUAGAUAACCUGCCCUUCGAAGGGGGAUAACGUUCCGAAAGGAGCGCUAAUACCGCAUAAAGCCGAGUUUGGUUUGCCAGAUUCGGGCAAAGGUAGGGACCGGCAACGGCCUAUCGUCGAAGGAGGGGUCUGCGGCCCAUCAGCUAGUUGGUAAGGUAAUGGCUUACCAAGGCAGAGACGGGUAGCUGGUCUGAGAGGAUGAUCAGCCACACUGGUACUGGAACACGGACCAGACUCCUACGGAGGCAGCAGUGGGGAAUCUUGGUCAAUGGGCGCAAGCCUGAACCAGCGAUGCCGCGUGAGUGAUGAAGGCCUUCGGGUUGUAAAGG